rnacentral:rRNA from 1 species
UACAGAGGGGGCAAGCGUUGCUCGGAAUCACUGGGCGUAAAGGGUGCGUAGGCGGGUCUUUAAGUCAGGGGUGAAAUCCUGGAGCUCAACUCCAGAACUGCCUUUGAUACUGAAGAUCUUGAGUUCGGGAGAGGUGAGUGGAACUGCGAGUGUAGAGGUGAAAUUCGUAGAUAUUCGCAAGAACACCAGUGGCGAAGGCGGCUUACUGGUCCGGUUCUGACGCUGAGGCGCGAAAAGCGUGGGGAGCAAACAGG